rnacentral:rRNA from 1 species
UGGGGAAUAUUGCGCAAUGGGCGAAUGCCUGACGCAGCGACGCCGCGUGUGGGAUGAAGGUCUUCGGAUCGUAAACCACUGUCAGAGGGGACGAAGGCCCGGCGUUAACUGCGACCGGGAUUGACGGUACCCUCGGAGGAAGCACCGGCUAACUCUGUGCCAGCAGCCGCGGUAAUACAGAGGGUGCGAGCGUUGUCCGGAAUCACUGGGCGUAAAGGGCGUGUAGGCGGCUGGGUAAGCCGCGUGUGAAAUCCCGGGGCUCAACCCCGGAACGGCACGCGGACUGCUCGGCUCGAGAAUGGUAGAGGCGAGUGGAAUUCCUGGUGUAGCGGUGGAAUGCGUAGAGAUCAGGAAGAACACCGGUGGCGAAGGCGGCUCGCUGGGCCAUUUCUGACGCUGAGGCGCGAAAAGCGUGGGGAGCAAACA